rnacentral:rRNA from 1 species
CACUUUAACACUGAGGCGUGAUGACGAGGCACCACGGUGCUGAAGCAACAAAUGCCCUGCUUCCAGGAAAAGCCUCUAAGCCUCAGGUAACAUCAAAUCGUACCCCAAACCGACACAGGUGGUCAGGUAGAGAAUACCAAGGCGCUUGAGAGAACUCGGGUGAAGGAACUAGGCAAAAUGGUGCCGUAACUUCGGGAGAAGGCACGCUGACACGUAGGUGAAGUGGUUUACCCAUGGAGCUGAAGUCAGUCGAAGAUACCAGCUGGCUGCAACUGUUUAUUAAAAACACAGCACUGUGCAAACACGAAAGUGGACGUAUACGGUGUGACGCCUGCCCGGUGCCGGAAGGUUAAUUGAUGGGGUCAGCGCAAGCGAAGCUCCUGAUCGAAGCCCCGGUAAACGGCGGCCGUAACUAUAACGGUCCUAAGGUAGCGAAAUUCCUUGUCGGGUAAGUUCCGACCUGCACGAAUGGCGUAAUGAUGGCCAGGCUGUCUCCACCCGGGACUCAGUGAAAUUGAACUCGCUGUGAAGAUGCAGUGUACCCGCGGCAAGACGGAAAGACCCCGUGAACCUUUACUAUAGCUUGACACUGAACACUGGUCCUUGAUGUGCAGGAUAGGUGGGAGGCUUUGAAGUGUGGACGCCAGUCUGCAUGGAGCCAUCCUUGAAAUACCACCCUUUAAUGGCUGGUGUUCUAACGUGGGCCCGUGAACCGGGUUGCGGACAGUGUCUGGUGGGUAGUUUGACUGGGGCGGUCUCCUCCUAAAGAGUAACGGAGGAGCACGAAGGUUGGCUAAUCCUGGUCGGACAUCAGGAGGUUAGUGCAAUGGCAUAAGCCAGCUUGACUGCGAGCGUGACGGCGCGAGCAGGUGCGAAAGCAGGUCAUAGUGAUCCGGUGGUUCUGAAUGGAAGGGCCAUCGCUCAACGGAUAAAAGGUACUCCGGGGAUAACAGGCUGAUACCGCCCAAGAGUUCAUAUCGACGGCGGUGUUUGGCACCUCGAUGUCGGCUCAUCACAUCCUGGGGCUGAAGUAGGUCCCAAGGGUAUGGCUGUUCGCCAUUUAAAGUGGUACGCGAGCUGGGUUUAGAACGUCGUGAGACAGUUCGGUCCCUAUCUGCCGUGGGCGCUGGAAGAUUGAGGGGGGCUGCUCCUAGUACGAGAGGACCGGAGUGGACGCAUCACUGGUGUU